GAUGAAGAACGUAGCGAAAUGCGAUACGUAAUGUGAAUUGCAGAAUUCAGUGAAUCAUCGAGUCUUUGAACGCACAUUGCGCCCCCUGGUAUUCCGGGGGGCAUGCCUGUCCGAGCGUCAUUGCUGCCCUCAAGCACGGCUUGUGUGUUGGGCCUCCGUCCUCCUCCCGGGGGACGGGCCCGAAAGGCAGCGGCGGCACCGCGUCCGGUCCUCGAGCGUAUGGGGCUUCGUCACCCGCUCUUGUAGGCCCGGCCGGCGCUUGCCGACACAUCAAUCUUUUUUCCAGGUUGACCUCGGAUCAGGUAGGGAUACCCGCUGCACUUAAGCAUAUCAAUAAGCGGAGGA
rnacentral:misc_RNA from 1 species